rnacentral:rRNA from 1 species
GGACUAUCAUGUCGGUCGUGCCUCUGGUACGUACUGAUUUUAUUGGUUUCUCCCUUCUGACGAACCAUGAUGUCAUUUAUUUGGUGUUGUGGGGAAUCAGGACUGUUACUUUGAAAAAAUUAGAGUGUUUAAAGCAAGCUAACGCUUGAAUACAUUAGCAUGGAAUAAUGAAAUAGGACGUUCGAUCCUAUUUUGUUGGUUUCUAGGAUUGACGUA